GACAGAGGGUGCAAACGUUGCUCGGAAUCACUGGGCGUAAAGGGCGCGUAGGCGGGAAUGUAAGUCGGGCGUGAAAUCCCUAGGCUCAACCUAGGAACUGCACUCGAAACUGCGUUUCUUGAGUAUCGGAGAGGAAAGCGGAAUUCCUGGUGUAGAGGUGAAAUUCGUAGAUAUCAGGAGGAACACCAGUGGCGAAGGCGGCUUUCUGGACG
rnacentral:rRNA from 1 species